GUUAUGGGCCUCGCUCACCGAAGCUUGGUCUCCCCAUGUCGUUCUUUUUUUCCUUUUCCCUCCUUUUCUCUCUCUGUUCUUCUUUCAGGAUGACUCCUUGGAACACAGGAGCUUUGUUGGCUUUCUGUGUUAAGGAAGAUCAAGCCCUGCUCUCCACUUUGCUAUCCUUAUCGCCCAAGCCAUCAUCAUGAGGUUGCCCCUGGAUCCUGCUGGGGCUGGACCCCGGCAGGGGGGCAGAGUGUGGGGGAGUUGGACCAUCCUUGGAUGACAGCAACCUUACACCUUUAGCCUCCUGAGGGACAGGAUUCAGGAAUCUCUGUGGAAAGAACUGUUUGCUCCGUGUCUGUCAGCCCAUUGGUCUGGUUUCCUGUGGAAUUAUUUGUGCCAGUGAAGUGAACCCAGAAGAAGAUUUAAUGUGGUCAUUUCAUAGCUUGUUUUCUCUAGGGUUGGAUUUUCUUAUGCAAAGUAAGACUGUAUUAUGGUAAGAAGUGAAAACAUUGUUUAUUGCUGAUAUACACCAUUCUAAGGCAUGGCAACGCUGCGGCUGCAGGCAGCUGGGAUGUGGCCUGACACGGGCUCUCAGGGCAGUGCUGUCAACCCAGGAACAAUGCUGUGACUUUUAGUUGAAUUAAGUCCGCUUUGUUUAUUUUUGUUUUCAUUUCCAAUACUCUAGGAGGCAGGUCAAAGAGGAUCGUGCUGUGAUGUAUGUCAAAGAGAUAUGUAUGUGAUGUAUGUAUGUUUUCCUCUAAGACUUUUAUGGAUUCUGGCCUUCAUUUAAGUCAUUAAUCCAUUUUGAGUUUAUUUUGUGUUCGGCGUUGGGAAGGGUUCUAGUAUCAUCCUUUUACCUGUAGCUUUCCAAUUGUCUUCCAAUUAAAAAUAAAUGUUUCUAAAUGGCAAUGACCAAGUCAGUUGAACACAAGAGCAAUCUUCUUCAAAUGAUACCUGUUAAUGGACAUAGAAUUUCUCAACAGUCAAAAUGACCUGUUUCUCUAAAAUUAGCGUGUUUUUUUUAAUGCACAGCUGUUUGCUGAGCUGUUCUGUUUUGUUUUUGCUUUUGGCUGUGCCGGGUCUUAAUUUCGGCUUGUGAGAUCUAGUUCCCUGAUCAAGGAUCAAACUCAGGCCCCCGGCAUUGGGAGCGCAGAGUCCUAUCCCCUGGACCAAAGUUCCCCCUAAAAUUAGGGUCUUGAGUCAAGUUCUCAUGCUGGCAGGACUCUCUGACUCAGCAGAUCACCGAGGUUCUCUUAAACUGUUGUGCAUGUUCAGGAAUCCCUAGGCUCCAGCAUUCUGGAAACUUACAGAGUUGUCUACAACAUGGAAACCUAAACCAGACAUGAUUCCUAUCUCAAACUGCUUUCAGUUGACUGAGGAGCAGGUUAAAAAAAAAAAAAAAAUUCCUCUGCCCUGUCUGUAGUCCCACUAGCCUGGACCCAGAGAUGUGGAAUGAGGGAUCAGACCAGAAGCAGAGAGCUGACACAGUUACUACCAGGGGAAUAAAACCUGCUUGGAUACUUUGCUUUCACUGUUCAGAUUUAGUUUUGUUUUUUCAUCUCCCUCUCCCUUCCUAUGCCCUGUCUAUCAAGAUGUUGAAGCCCCAGUGCUCAGGUGUCCAGCACCCAGUGUGCAGGACUCUAGGUUGUUUGGAGGAAAUCUGUGUUUACCUUCAGGUGGGUGUUCAGAUAUCCCCCCUGUUAAAUAAGGAUGGGGACUACAUCCUCCAGGAAUAUUAAAACCAUUAUAACUAUUAAAUUCUGCAUUUUUAUAGCUGUGCCUAUAAAUUUUUAAAUGACAAUGAUUCAGUGUUUAUGCCACAUCUCCUAGAUUGCCCAGAAAUAAAACAUAUAUCUCUUUUC